AUUUGUAAAAGGCAAGUAUGGUGAAACCCAUAUACGCAAAGCUUCCGACCUAAGGUAAAGACUAUGGUAGCGGGGCUGCAGAG
rnacentral:ncRNA from 1 species